rnacentral:lncRNA from 1 species
AUAAAUCUCUACCCAAGAACUGGAGUCACAUGCUCACGAAUAUCUAAGAAUACUAAAUACAAAGUUUGAAAGAAACAUAAAUCUGUUUAUCUCGAAUACAAGGAGAUGAAAGUCUAAAGUAAGAACAGAGGAGACGCCAGGACUGCGGAGGCCUACAAGGCUACCUCGGAUCUCACUACGCUAAAAGUCUGCUCCCAUGCUACUGCUGUUGCUGCUCGAAACCUGGAUCUGUGAAAAAUAGCACAGUGUAGUAUCAGCACAACCGAUCCCAUGUGCUGGUAAGUGUCUAGCCUAACCCUGAAGAAGUAGUGACGAGGCUAGAAUGGACUACCACAUAAACCUGUUCAAUUAUAAAUAUGCAGCAUAAUCAAAAUACAAGACAGGUGAACAAUAUGGGAGGGGAAUCAUACUGUGGGGAGACAACAGUUUCAAGUAAAAUUUGACUAACAUGAAGGAAAAGCACAAUUCAUACAACACUAAGGAACAGAUCGAUAAGUGCACGGCAUCACUCUUCGUGAUUUUACUCCCAUCCUCACCAAGCAAAGGUAUAACAAACAUGCACGACAUCACCCUUCGUGAUUUUACUCUCAUUCCUCACAUAUAUAUAACCAAUGAAUAUCAGUAUGGAAUGGCACAUCUAUGCCACAGCAUCACUCUUUGGGUUUUUACUCUCAUUUUCUCACAUAUUUAUAAUCAAUGAAUAUCAGUACGGAAUGGCACAUCGUACGACACGUCAUCACCUUUCGUGCUUUACACUCUUUCCUCACAAUAUCAAACAAUGCACGGCAUCACCCUUCGUGCUUUAAUACUCUUCCUCACCCAAUCAACAAUCACAGAUAAGGGAAAGGAAAUAAAUAAAUAAUAAUGAAAAUCCCGGCAAGGGAACACAAACAAGUAAUUAACAACCCGGCAAUGGUACAACAUCAAUAAUCUCGACGUCCCGAUAAGGGAAAAUAUUCAAUAAUUAACAAUGCCCCGGCAAGGGAAAAUAUUAUUAAAUCUUUCUCUUCCUUCCACUUUCAUCUCAUAGUUCACAUUAUUACUUGAGCCAAUGCUCCAAAGAUUUACUUAUCCCGUAUACCUUCACAAUAUGUAUUUCAACUCGAGCCAACGCUUCACGAAGUUUAAAGAUCACAAUCCCUUUCACAAGCUCUUUACAACAUAUAGAAGUCAUCAAUCAAGCAUGGAAGGUAUAACAAAAUCCAAACUAUUCGCAUAAUAAAGACUCACGGUCAAGCUAGACACUAUAUGUAUAGAUACUCGUCACUAUGCCUUUGCGUCGUACUCAGCAAUUAGCAAGUAACAUAUAAGACUCAACUCAUAUUCCCUCAAGUUAGGGUUAAACCAAAAACUUACCUCAACUUCCACGGCCGAAUCAAUAUACAAUAACUGCCUUCCCUCUUGAAUUCGGCUCCAACUCAACCAAAUCUAUACAUAAUGACUUCAUAAUAUCAAUAUGUGCUAAACAAAUCAAACCCAAUAUCUAGUUAUUGAUUCCCAAGCUUUCUUUCCAAAAUUUCAAAAAUUGAUCCCGGGCUCGCUUGGUCACAACACAAGGUUCGGACCAAAUUCAUAUUAUUCAUUCCCCCACGAGCCCGAAUAUAUAAUUUAUUUUGAAAUCGGACCUCAAAUUGAGGUCCAAAUCUUCAAUUUUAGCAAAACUUAGGUUUUACCUAACAUACCCAAAUUUUUCCAUUAAAAUCUUUGAUUUGAAGUUGAAAUUAUGUUAAAAGAUGUUAAGGAGUGAAGAAAAUAAGUUAGAAAUUAUUUACCAAGCACUUUGAAGAAGAAGAAUCGUUUGGGAAAUCGCCUCUUAUGUUUUGGGUUUUUGAAAAGUGAAAAUUAUCUGAAAUUUCCAUGCAUUUAUACCCUCUGAAGUCCCCAGAAUGGACCGUGCAAAAAGGAACGCGGUCGCCCCAACCUGCCUGAAGACCUGCAGGUUCUAGCCCUGCGCGGACUGCGCAAAGCCAAUCGGAGCACCCACCACGGACUGCGCAAAGGCGAUCGCGGCCGCACUGGCCCCUACGGGGCUGUACGCAAUUUUAUCGCGGACCGCGCUCGGAGGGUUCAGACUCUGCAACAUUUUCCUGAACCUGCAACAGCUGAUAUUUUAAGCCUAAGAUAUUUCAGAACCUACUCGAAACUCACCCGAGCUCUCGGGGCUCCAAACCAAACAUACAAAUCACCUCAAACCAUCCUACGGACUUAUCCGUCGAUCAAAUCACUAAUAUAACAUCUUAAAUAAUGAAUCAAACCUCAAAGUCACUAAUUUUUCUUCAAACUUCAUAAACUUUCAAAUUUGGAGUUUUAAGUCUGAAACACGUCAAAUGACGUCCGAUUUCAACCAAACUUCAAAGAAAUAUCUUAAAACACAUAUAAGACCUGUACCGUGUGCCGGAACCAAAAUACGGGUCCGAUACCAACACAUUCUAAUUAAUUUUCUUUUCAAAUUUCCUUAAUAAUUUCAGAAAAAUAAUUUCUUUAAAAUUCAUUUCUCGGGCUCGGGACCUCGGAUUUCGAUUUCGGGCAUACGCCCGAGUCCAAUAUUUUCCUACGGACCUUUUGGGACCGUCAAAUCAUGGGUCCGGAUCAUUUUACCCAAAAUAUUAAUCGAAGUCAAAUUUAUUCAAUUUAAUAUCAAAUUUUAAUAUUUUUCUCACAGAAUUCAUAUUUAAGCUUUCCGAUUAUGUGCCCGAAUUGUGCACGAAAAUCAAUGCAAUCCUAAAUAAAGUUUUCAAGGUCUUGAAAGCACGAAAUGAAAAAGAAAGCAGGUGCACAGUUCACUCUGCUCAAAAGAUCACCAAAGAUUCCUCCGCAACAAUUAAAGAGCUAUGAUAUCUUAAGCCUAGUUAGCUCUUGAAAUAGAGUGAUAUUCAACAUCGAAUUCAAGAUCUAGAGUAUUCAAGAUAAAUAUUAUGUUAUAUUAUGUAUAUAUUUUUUAAAUUUCAAAUCAAAAACAAAAGAGUUCAGUCAAACUUUAUAAACCCGCACUAAAUCUACCUCAAAGAAAUUUUCAUAGGCCAGGCAAGCGCUAUUUCUCAAAUUAAAAUCAUAUAUAUGUGGAUAUAAUUUUGCAUUGUGUAUUUAGAAUUAGAACUGGAUAUUGCCAGAGUACCAAAGGAAAAAGGUUUCUAAAGAAAAUCGAAUAUGACCAAUUAUUUUGAGUUGAAAUGAUAUUAAUAGUACAUAUUCUUUUAUAAUCUACGUAUGCACGUUUUCAAGUGAAAGAUAAUAACAGCGUAUUAGAAUAAGAAAUAGUAACAUAAAACGAAAUAUUUUGACUUGAGAUUUUUCUAAAUAUUGUAUUGCCAAGAAAACUCAUAAAUUAAGAGGAGUAUAUGAAAUGAUAGCAGUGUGCCUAUAUAUAAAGUCAAUACUCAGCGAGGGAGGAUAUAGAAAAUAGUUUAGCAACACACAAAAAAAUGAAAUAUUAGAAAAUAAUUGUCCCAGUUUGCUAGGAAGGCAAACAACCCGUUUGGAUUGACUUUAUUAAGGUGAGUUUACAGCAAAAAUAGCUUUUAAGCCCAAAAAAAGUUUUUAAGCCCAAAAAAAUAAGUUGGGAUCGUUCAAUUUACUAUUUUUGGCUUGAUUUAAGCAAUUUUAAAUUUACUUUUAAGUAUUUUUUAAUUUUGUCAAAUACUAAAAAAAUUUAAAAAGAGUUUAAAAGCUUAUUUGAUCCGCUUAAAAACCGAUCCAAAUACCUUUAAAAUUGUGGUCGUUAUGUUGUAUUUUAAAAAAUAUUGUACGAACUUUAUAAGCUAUUUAAUGGUUGGUAGGUUUUUUAUAUGAAUUGAUAUGUCUUGAAACUGAAGAAUUGUGUUGGUUACUACUUACUUCUAUAUUAGAAAACUAGAUAGCUUUUGCUCGUGCAAAGCCAGGCCCAAAAUUUCAUACUUUUAGGUAGUUUGUUCUUUUUUAAAAUUCUUGAUUUGGUUUAAGUAUUAAUAAAUAUUAUUUAAAAAAUUGAUGAUUUUAUAAAUGCAUAUCUUGACAUGAUUGGCCGUUGCUUUCAACCAAUAUACUCCCAUAACAUGAAAGUCAAGUAAAUGUAACCUGUGGUGACAACUAAAUAUGUACCUUAAAAUUUGGACUGUAAAAUAACUUCAAACGUCUCAAACAUCAUUUAUUUAGAAGAUAGUGUUAUUAAAAAGUCACAAACAUGAAGAUAAAAAACUUAAAAAGUCUAAUGAGACCAUAUAAAUCAAACGUCUCAAACUUUAAGAUGCAAAAAAUUGAGGAAAUGUAAUGCUUAGGGAAACAACAAAAAAAAUGAAGCAUUGUGCUAGCAAUCAUAGAAAUGACACAAAAUUUGAAGAAGUCUGAUGCUUAUGAAAACAAAGAAUGAAUCAAUUUACUUCUCAACUAUAGAAGUCAACCACCAAGUUAUGUCACAUAAGCUUGAAUUUAGGAAAUCAAUCUGAAUUAGUGAAUAAUGACAAAUCAUAUUUAGCUGAGACAAUAAAGGGACAUUCACAUGCAAUGACAAUAUAAGUAAGAAACACUUAAAAUGCAUUUUAUUUUCACAAUGGGUGGAGAAUUGCCAAGCUUGGGAAGAAUUGUAUCAUUUGAAUCGGUUAGCAUCGAAGUUGAAAAUCUUUUGUUUUCAUAAUAAGCUAAUCUCCUUUAGUAUUUUGUACCAUCACCUAUAUACUUAUUCAAAUUCCUGCAUAUUAAAAGUAUAGUAACAUUAAAAUCUUGAACUUUUUCGAAUAGUAGAAGCUAAAUACUUUAAUACUUCAUUAUGAAAUAACAUAUAAUUCCUUCAAAGAAGAGAUUUGGUGCAAGUAUUCAAAAAAAUCCAUUUAGGAAGCAUAAUAAACGUUACUUCAAAAGAGAAAGUGGAAAUGAAAAUUAGAGGUUCUACUGAUAUGUUCCAAAAUAUAUUAAAAAAAUUGAAUUCCAUUGCAACCAAACAAAUAUACAGAAAAUACACAAACUACAUCAAUAGAUGACACCUCUUUGCAACUUCUCAAGAACGAUUAAAAUGACGCAAUAAAUGCAAUCAUCUUGAAAAAUCCCAAUCAAAUAAUAAUAAUAGAAUGACUCAACAACAUAAUAAGUAACAGAAAGAUGAAUAAAUUUUCUCAAUUAACAAAAUCAAACUUUUGUAUCUAGUAUUUUUGGUGAAUCUUGCUUUGAGGAUAAAGUUGUAACUAUAUGAUUUCGCUCUCGUUGCUACCAUGCUAAAAGCUAAGAAAUUUUAAGAAGAAAUUUAAAAAAGGGAAGAAUUUUAGUAUCUUGAAAGAAAAAAAUCGUCUUUGAAGAGCUGCAGAAGAGAUAUAAGUUUCUAUUUCGCGUAAGUUUGCCCAUUUGAAUUUACUGUCAAAUGGACAUAUAACUGUAAAACUACUUUGCAGAGAACUACUUGCUCUUUCUAUCUCCAUUACUUGAACACUGUAAUGGUGGCCAUAUUGUCUCAUUUUCUUUCUUAUAUCAUAUUGCUGAACACAUAUAUAUUAUGUCAAAGAUAACCAAACAACAAAGAAGCUAACUUCCAGUUAAGUGACGAAUUAGUAUCGAAUAUCAACUAUGUAUAUAAAUUAUAAUAAAAUAUAAGAGACGAACGCGAUGGACAAAGUAUAAUAAUUAGCAUAGCAAAAAAAAUGAAACCAUUAUACAGCUAUUAGCGAAAUCAUAACCUGUUUCGAGCUAGCAAGUUUAAAGCUAACAUCAACCCUUAACAUGCACGGGCAGAGAUGGAAAAAUGUUCAGAGUUGGUGGUCCUAUUCCAGAUUUCUUUGUAACUUCUCAAGAACGAAAGAUUUCAUAUUUCUGACAGGUCGGCUAUUUUAGCUCUUUGGAAAAAAACUGCAUCAAAAAGAUGGGAAAAUAAAUAUAUAUCCCCACUGCUACAUCCAUCAACUUAAAUAAACAACCUCAUUUCGAUUACUUUUUUUUUAUAUAACAAUCUAAUAUCCGAAAAGACAAUCGUACACUGUGUCUAUAACAGUUUUGCCAAUUAAUCUUUGGUGAUUCUAGCAUUCUAGAGGACCUUAUGUUGUUUCAUCUCAGCUCAUCAAGUUUAGCACUUGCGAAAUUUAACUUGAACUCCAAAGGUAUACCUGCUGUUUUUGUUUGAUUCCAACAAUUUAAUUUAUAAUUUCGCUGUUCUAAUCUCAGCUUUGAGAUUUAUGAUAGCAUACAUGUGCUGAUACAUCAGAUUUCUUGUUAUAGUCCACCAAAUUCAAUUUCAAGCAAGAAUUUCGACUCUCCUAGAUUUUUUAUCUUGAAAUUUUGGUGUAUUACCUCUUAGCUUCUUCAACUAUUCUGUUAUUGUUCGUGUGGUCAAUAAGUUAUUGACAUAUAAGGAUCACAAGUUCACAACUAUAUUAUUGCCAUGCCUAGUAAACAAAAAGCAGUAUAAGAAAUAAAUCUCUCAAAAAAUAUAAGUGACAUUACUAUAUUAUUUCCAUAACUUAGAUGAACAUUUAAUUAUAUAAAUUCCAAGAGUAUAAAUUUGUUUUUUCAUUACCAAAGGAUUAAUUAAACUGGUAUAUUAAAAUUGAGCAAAAAAGAAACUUUCAUUUGAAAUUCACAUCAUAAAGCAGUAUAAUAAAAAGUGUCUACGAAAAUAAAGAAUAUAUGUCACUAUAGAAUAACAACAACUAAGAAAAUUCACCCACAAAAUAGAAAAUUGUUAAGAAAUCUCAAACAAAAAAUAAAAGAAGAAGAAAAAGAGAUAAGACAGAGAAAGAAAGAAGAUGAUUUAAGCAAAAAACCGAGAGAAAAUCAUACCUGAAAUGGUAUUCUUCAAAUUCUGAAGAAGAAGAACUCAAAGGUCGAAGUUAUGAUGGAACAGAGGAGAGAUGUUUCUAGACACUCGUUUGUGUCGAAAUAACGAGCAUUGAUAAAAUUAGAAGUAGAGAAAAAAUAAAAUGACAAGAUAAAAUGAUAAUUUUGCUAUUAAUCGACCAAUUUUUCUUUUCUAUAUAAUAGAUUAGAAAUAUAUAGAUAGAAAAAUGAUGGAAUUGGAGAAUUUUAAAAAG